GGCUCGGUGGCAAAGCGGUUGGUGCAUCUGCAAUUCGUGAUGAUAAAAUCAUGUUCUGCAGAAGACGCCUGUUCGACUCGGGCCCGGGCCA